rnacentral:rRNA from 1 species
UGGCAAAAGGGCGAGUAACGCGUGGGUAACCUACCUCCGAAACCGGGAUAACUUUGCGAAAGCGAGGCUAAUACCGGAUAAGACCACGGUCCAUAAGGACUGUGGUAAAAGGAAGCCUCUAUUUAUAAGCUACCAUUUGGAGAGGGGCCUGCGUCCUAUCAGCUAGUUGGUGAGGUAACGGCCCACCAAGGCUAUUGACGGGUAGCUGGACUAAGAGGUUGGUCAGCCGCACUGGGACUGAGACACUGCCCAGACUCCUACGGGAGGCUGCAGUCGAGAAUCUUUGGCAAUGCCCGAAAGGGUGACUAUGCGACGCCGCGUGAGCGAUGAAGGUCUUCGGAUUGUAAAGCUCUGUCAAGUGGGAUGAAUACCCCAACCAUAACAUGGUUGGGGAAUGACAGUACCACUGGAGGAAGCCACGGCUAACUCCGUGCCAGCAGCCGCGGUAAUACGGAGGUGGCAAGCGUUGUUCGGAUUUAUUGGGUGUAAAGGGCAGGUAGGUGUCCUAGCAAGUUCUGGUUGAAAUCCUUCAGCUCAACUGGAGAACCGGUCAGAAAACUGCUAGGAUUGAGUGCGGAAGAGGAGAACGGAAUUCCCGGUGUAAGGGUGAAAUCUGUAGAUAUCGGGAAGAACACCAGUGGCGAAAGCGGUUCUCUAGUACGUUACUGACACUGAACUGCGAAAGCUAGGGGAGCAAACAGGAUUAGAUACCCUGGUAGUCCUAGCCGUAAACGAUGAGCACUAGGUGCGGGCUCGCAAGGGUCCGUGCCGCAGUUAACACAUUAAGUGCUCCACCUGGGGACUACGGCCGCAAGGUUGAAACUCAAAGAAAUUGACGGGGACCCGCACAAGCGGUGGAGCAUGUGGUUUAAUACG